rnacentral:rRNA from 1 species
AUUGAACGCUGGCGGCAGGCUUAACACAUGCAAGUCGAGCGGGGGAAGGUAGCUUGCUACCGGACCUAGCGGCGGACGGGUGAGUAAUGCUUAGGAAUCUGCCUAUUAGUGGGGGACAACAUCUCGAAAGGGAUGCUAAUACCGCAUACGUCCUACGGGAGAAAGCAGGGGAUCUUCGGACCUUGCGCUAAUAGAUGAGCCUAAGUCGGAUUAGCUAGUUGGUGGGGUAAAGGCCUACCAAGGCGACGAUCUGUAGCGGGUCUGAGAGGAUGAUCCGCCACACUGGGACUGGGACACGGCCCAGACUACUACGGGAGGCUGCAGUGGGGAAUAUUGGACAAUGGGGGGAACCCUGAUCCAGCCAUGCCGCGUGUGUGAAGAAGGCCUUAUGGUUGUAAAGCACUUUAAGCGAGGAGGAGGCUACUCUAGUUAAUACCUAGGGAUAGUGGACGUUACUCGCAGAAUAAGCACCGGCUAACUCUGUGCCAGCCGCCGCCGUAA